rnacentral:sRNA from 1 species
GUUUGAAAGCCUCAAACAUGGCGGCACGAAAUGGAGGUACAGUGACGGUCGACAACCGCCUCCGUUGGCGAUGAAUUUGGCCGUCAGAAAGGGUCUUAUGAUAUGUCAAUUAUUCUUUUUGCGUUUGAUUGGGAGUAUAUAAAUUACGGUUUUUGGGGAUUUUACUCAAAUGAAAACUGACUUUUCUGUUGCCGGCGACCUCUGCUUGCUUGCUCCCUUUCUCAGUCGAUGAGUUUAUAAGAAAGGGACAGGGUAGGGGUGGUUUGAACUGCAGGAUGGGUUCUUCCUAAUCAUACUUAACUUAAGAAGAUGAUUGUCAUCUGUACCAGCAUACUAAAAUCAUUUGUGCACUCCGUGUGCUAAACUGCAUCCUACCCUGCAUUCAUGUUAAAAUCAUUGAGAAGAAGAUGGCUACUCAAAUCUAAAAGUUACUUAAAGGCAGUUCCUGGCUUCUUGUGAACUCUUUCAUCCAAUGACAUGCUCUAUAGCAUCAUUGGAAAGAGUAGCAAAAGCAAAAGAGUUUAUGUGCGUUGUAGAAACCAGAAAACAAAAGAACCUGAUGGUGGUCGAAAUCUUGACCCAAAUCACAAAAAAGCACAAAUCUUAAUCCAAGAACUUCAAAGAACCCAGCGGAAGACCGACACUGAGGACUGUCCCGCGAGUGAUACCAUGAUAACAGAAGUGAAGGAUUGCUGAGAAUGUAACAAUGUUGCAGAGAAAGUAACAAGCAAAGAAGAGAGAAGAACAACUCUUGAGAGAGAAAGAGAGAAAAUGUAAAUUGUAUUUCUGUAUUGCUUAAUCGAAAUGAUCAGAGUUAUUACUCUGUUUAUAU